rnacentral:rRNA from 1 species
UACGGGGGGAGCAAGCGUUGUUCGGAUUUACUGGGCGUAAAGGGCGCGUAGGCGGCCACCGCAAGUCGGUUGUGAAAUCUCUGGGCUUAACCCAGAAAGGUCAACCGAUACUGCGGGGCUAGAGUGCAGAAGGGGCAACUGGAAUUCCCGGUGUAGCGGUGAAAUGCGCAGAUAUCAGGAGGAACACCGGUGGCGAAGGCGGGUCUCUGGGCCGUAACUGACGCUGAGGAGCGAAAGCAUGGGGAGCGAACAGG